UACGUAGGGACCAAGCGUUGUUCGGAUUUACUGGGCGUAAAGGGCGCGUAGGCGGCAAUUCAAGUCAGUUGUGAAAUCUCCGAGCUUAACUCGGAACGGUCAACUGAUACUGUUUUGCUAGAGUGCAGAAAGGGCAACCGGAAUUCUUGGUGUAGCGGUGAAAUGCGUAGAUAUCAAGUGGAACACCAGUGGCGAAGGCGAGUCCCUGGACAAGACCUGACACUGAGGCACGAAAGCCAGGGGAGCAAACAGG
rnacentral:rRNA from 1 species